rnacentral:tRNA from 1 species
GCCGGAGUGGCGGAAUUGGCAGACGCGCACGACUCAAAAUCGUGUCCCGUGAGGGGUGUGGGUUCGAUUCCCACCUUCGGCACCA